rnacentral:rRNA from 1 species
AGUGAACGCUGGCGGUAGGCCUAACACAUGCAAGUCGAACGGCAGCACAGUAAGAGCUUGCUCUUACGGGUGGCGAGUGGCGGACGGGUGAGGAAUACAUCGGAAUCUACUUUUUCGUGGGGGAUAACGUAGGGAAACUUACGCUAAUACCGCAUACGACCUACGGGUGAAAGCAGGGGAUCUUCGGACCUUGCGCGAUUGAAUGAGCCGAUGUCGGAUUAGCUAGUUGGCGGGGUAAAGGCCCACCAAGGCGACGAUCCGUAGCUGAUCUGAGAGGAUAAUCAGCCACACUGGAACUGAGACACGGUCCAGACUCCUACGGGAGGCAGCAGUGGGGAAUAUUGGACAAUGGGCGCAAGCCUGAUCCAGCCAUACCGCGUGGGUGAAGAAGGCCUUCGGGUUGUAAAGCCCUUUUGUUGGGAAAGAAAAGCAGCAGGUUAAUACCCCGCUGUUCUGACAGUACCCAAAGAAUAAGCACCGGCUAACUUCGUG